GGAUCAUUACUGAGUAUCUUACUCUCUACCCUUUGUGAACCAUUAUACCUGUUGCUCGGCGGCGCCCUCUCGGGGGCGCCCGCCGGCUAUAUCAGAAUCUCUGUUUUCGAACCCGACGAUACUUCUGAGUGUUCUUAGCGAACUGUCAAAACUUUUAACAACGGAUCUCUUGGCUCCAGCAUCGAUGAAGAACGCAGCGAAACGCGAUAUGUAAUGUGAAUUGCAGAAUUCAGUGAAUCAUCGAAUCUUUGAACGCACAUGGCGCCUUCCAGUAUCCUGGGAGGCAUGCCUGUCCGAGCGUCGUUUCAACCCUCGAGCCCCAGUGGCCCGGCGUUGGGGAUCUGCCACGGCAGGCCCCUAAAACCAGUGGCGGACCCGAAGGGCCCUCUCCUUUGCGCAGUAGCAUCAGCCUCGCAUCGGGAGCCCUCGGCGUCCUGCCUCUAAACCCCCCCCAAAGCCCGCCUAGCGGCACCAAGGUGACCUCGGAUCAGGUAGGAAUA
rnacentral:misc_RNA from 1 species